CACAAUUCAGAAGCAGUUCUGGAAGUCUUUCACAUCUUUAGUUGUACUGCCGUGAUUGCCUCGAUGUCCCAAACUGAUCUACAAUGUUUAUCUUUCAUGGUCAUUUUGACUUUGAAGAUGAGCCAGAAGUGUCAGAGUACCAGCUGGAUGAGGACACAUCACAAUGUUUCCAUGAGCUUACCUUUCUCCUGGAUGGCACUUGCCACAGCAGUCACUGUAUGUUUUAUCACAACUCAGAAGACACUCCCGAAAAAGGAUUUCCAGAACUGCUUCAGAAAGACACAAAAUUUGCUAAGGCUGGGAAUAUGAGAAUCAUCA
rnacentral:lncRNA from 1 species